UCAAAAUGUCCAUGAUCCAAACAUUGUGUUUGUUUGUUUCAUUUCACUCUGUCUGUGAUUAGAUGGUGGAAGGCAUUUACAAUAAAGUUUAAUCUCUUAGAUUUUCAUGCUUUUAAAAGAUCUGAUAUUGGUGCCAUUUUUUGUGAAUUUGAUGCCCUAAUAUUUCUUGGCGGAUAUGAUCCAUAAACACCUAAUGGCGUUGAAGAGGCCAUUAUGUCUUCAUAAAUCAGAUCAGAUGGAAAACUCUAGACUUACCAAGGGCCUCUCUCUUGCAGCGGUCAGUCUAGAAUCUCAGUUUGCAAAAUGCCAUGAUUUUUCAGUAAUUUAGUUACAUGUUUUGUGAUAUAGAGCAUAUGAGGAUAUAGAAUUAUAAAGAACACCAUCUUUCGGGACUGAAUGGCUUAAUGCCUUGGUGACAUAUUCUGCAAUUCUGAGGCUUGUAGGUCUUAAUUUCGUUAUUCACAUUCUUAAUUUUAUUGGCGACCAGUAACAAACUGCUUAGUUUUCAACUGUCCUGCUUGGUUAUAUCGAUGGUUUUACCUCUAAAAAUUCUGGCUACAUUUUUAAUUAUUGAAUUUGAAUUUCUGUUAGAUUAUGAGUACAUCUCUAGUGUUUUAGUCUAUGAUCAUAUAAUUUGCUACAAUUACAAAAUACCCGUGCUUCUGAUAGUAAUCUAUGAAGCUAAAAAGGUAAAAAUGGUUGACUUUCUUGAUAUGAGCCAUUAUUGAUAGUUUGGAGGACUGCUACCACUACAACAGUAUAGUGUGUCAUAAUCAUUUUUCAUACACAUCGGUAUAAAUUACUUGAAAAGAUUUUCAUUUGAAUCUACAGUUUGACAUUUUGACAUGCAAUUAGUGUAUUUUUAUUUGAGGUUACAUAACAUAUACGAUACAACAAUAUGCUAGCUAGAUAACAACAAAAGUAAAACAUUUCAAAGUACUUGAUAUUGAGCCUAAAGUGUUUAACAAUGCUAGACAAUCAUUAGUUUUGGUUUUGAAUAUCUAGUCUUCUCUUUUAUGCUAUGUAUUCAUUUGUAGUUGUGUAUGCCAAUGAUGCAGAAAUUGAAACCAGUUGAGACUAGUUUCAAUCGGUAGUGGCCAGACAACCGUAGGAAUGUGGUAUCCGUAGAUAACGAGUUUAAUUCAGUCCCGAUUUGUCUACUAUUUCCAUCUCACAUUUUUUUAAUGCAUAAUCUUUUUUGUAUGUGUUGUUUAGUUUUUUCAUUACAAAAUGCAAGCUUUACCUUAGGCUGUUUCUGCUGUGAUCAUGCAAGACAAACUGUGGGACACAGCCCUCAGUAAGGCUAGCAGUUGCAGGCUUGCAGUUCUGUAUGUCAACUUAUUUUAUAAUUGAAGCACCAUUCCAUCUAUUAAAUGUUAUGCACAUCUGUAUGUCAUCUAUAAAGCAAAUAGGUCAACCUGGAACCAAGCUAUUUAGCUCAUGAUGCCUUGAUUUGAUGUUUGUAAGCUCGGGUAGUUACAUUCCAUGACUGCAUACAAUUUUUGCAUCUAUUACAACUGCUUGAGCACUGAUACAUCUUUUUUAGCAAUUACUAAUGUCUACUUUAUGCAACUCUUGUUCUUAGACUUCCAACGUUGUAACAUUUUGAUCUUGUCCACUGUCAUCUAUAAAGCAAAUUGGUUUUCUUGGUAUCAACUUUGUGUCGGAAGAUGACUAAAGAGAAUGCUUUGCCAAGCGUCUUUGCUCUUGAAUAGUCAUCAUUCAUGAUGAGGUCUUGGUGUAGCUCAAAUGU